GCCAGAUUCAGGUGCGGCCAUUUGUGUGUCCCCGAGGUUCCUCGCGGGCCGGCAUCCCACGCCGAGGGUGGUGGUGGCAGGCUUUCCAGAAAGGCAGCACACCAGGCUCAGCUCUGCUGGCGAGCAGGAGGCGACGGCAGAGGAAACUUCAACCCGAUGAACUUCCUGGUUGCGGGGACAUUUGCCUCCUCCUGCCACUCACCACCUCUGCUCUGGUCCCUCCCUCCAAGAAUCCUCAUAGCGUCCUCUCUCCCCACUCUCUCCCAUCCCGCGUCUCCCAUAUUUGCCCCAGCUUGGCUCAGGGCCACAGUUCUGCACUCUUCAGCCGGCGGCGCCACCAGCAGUUGUUUCUACGCGGGAAAUAGGGCAACAGCAUCCCAGCACAGCUGAGUGCCCAAGGAUGGUCAGCCGGGUAGGGCAAGAAGCUUCUUUCAGGGAUUCUGAUCUCACGAAACAAGAGUAAUGAUGGCACUUCACUCAGAGGUUUGUCCUGAGGCUUAAAUGAGGCAACAUGGACACAGCAUUUUAGCACAAGGCCAGGCUUUAACUCAAAAACUCCACGAGAGAUACUCAAAGAGGCAUUUAAAGAGUUAACAAGGAUACUCAUUGAAGAAAUAUUUACAAUAUAAAACAUUGGAAGUAACCAAAAUUUUCAACAAUAGCAGAUGUGAUGGUGCUGAUGUUUAAGAAGAAAGUCCUUAUUAGGAGGAUGCUGCUGAAAUAUUUAAGGACAAAGUGUCAUAAUGUCUGCAUUUACUCCCAAAUGUCUCAUCAAAAAUGUGCAAAUAUGAAGUAAAUGGGGCAAAAUCUUAAUAAGAAGUGAAUGUAGCUGGCACAGGAUUGACUCCUGGUGGAACCCAACUCAGUGAUCUGUGCAGUGUGGUGUUUUCCAAACUGGCCAAGGUGUCUGCAGGGCCCUCAGAAUUUUCCAAGCAAGAAAAGAUUUGGCUACUUGGAGAAACUUCAUCCUUCUGGAGGCAUCACCUCCAGAAUCUACUUGAAGUGGAUGACACUGACUUCCAUGAACUGUUUUCCUUUUGCUGAGGGUGAUGGCUUCCAACUCCAUCCAUGUCCCUGCAGAGGAGAUGAUCUCAUUCCUUUUUAUGGCUGUAUAGUAUUCCAUGGUGUGUAUGUACCACAUUUUCUUUAUCCAGUUUAUCAUUGAUGGGCAUUUAGGUUGAUUCCAUAUCUUCGCUAUUGCGAGUAGUGCUGCAAUAAACAUAUGCAUGCAUAUAUCUUUAUAAUAGAAUGAUAUAUAUUCCUUUGGAUAUAUACCUACUAAUGGGAUUGCUGGGUCAAAUGGUAUUUCUGCCUCUGGAUUUUUGAAAAAUCACAACACUGUCUUUCACAGUGCAAACCACCGUGAAACUAAUUUACACUCCCACCAACAGUGUAAAAGUUUUCAUUUUUCUCCACAAUCUUGCCAGCAUCUGUUGAUUUUUGACUUUUUAAUAAUAGCCAUUCUGACUGGCAUGACAUGGUAUGUCAUGUAUAUCAUUGUCAUUUUGAUUUGCAUUUCUCUAAUAAUACACUUAUUAUUUAGGAGCUUUUUUUCAUAUAUUUUUUGGCCGCAUGUGUAUAUUUUAAGAAGUGUCUGUUCAUGUCCUUCGCCACUUUUUAACAGUGUUAUUUGUGUUUGUCUUUUAAAUUUGUUUAAGUUACAUGUAGCUUCUGGAUAUUAGACCUUUGUCCAAUAGAUAGAUUGCAAAAAUUGUCUCCCCUUCUGUAGGUUGUCUGUUCACUCUGAUGAUGGUUCCGUUUGCUGUGUGGAAGCUCUUAAGUUGGAUUAAAUUCCAGUCGUCAAUUUCUGCUUUUGUUAUAAUUGCUUUUGGAGAUUUCAUCAUGAAAUCUUUGCCCAUACCUAUGUCUUCAACGGUAUUGCCUAGAUUUUCUUCUAGGGUUUUUAUUUUAAAUUUAUACUUUAAGUUCUGGGGUACAUGUGCAGAAUAUACAGGUUUGUUACAUAGGUAUAAAUGUGCCAUGGUGGUUUGCUGCACCUAUCAACCCAUCAUCUAUAUUAGGUAUUUCUCCUAAUGCUCUCCCUCCUCUAGCCCCCGCUGUGUGUGAUAUGCCCCUCCCUGUGUCUAUGUGUUUUCAUUUUUCAACUCCCACUUAUGAGUGAGAACAUGUGGUGUUUGGUUUUCUGUUCCUGUGUUAGUUUGCUGAGAGUGAUGGUUUCCAGCUUCAUCAUGUCCCUGCAAAGGACAUGAACUCAUCCUUUUUUAUGGCUGCAUAGUAUUCCAUGGCAUAUAUGUGCCACAUUUUCUUUAUCCAUUCUAUCAUUGAUGGGCAUUUGGGUUGGUUCCAAGUCUUUGCGAUUGUGAAUGGUGCCACAAUAAAAAUAUAUGUGUGUGUGUGUGUGUGUGUGUGUGUGUGUCUUUAUCGGAGAAUGAUUUAUAAUCCUUUGGGUGUAUACCCAGUAAUGAGAUUACUGGGUCAAAUGGUAUUUCUAUGACCAGUGAUGAUGAGCUUUUUUUCAUAUGUUUGUUGGCUGUAUAAAUGUCCUCUUUUGAGAAGUGUCUGUUCUGAUGGGGUUGUUCGUUGCUUGUAAAUUUGCUUAAGUUCCUUGUAGAUUCUGGAUAUUAGCCCUUUGUCAGAUGGAUAGAUUGAAAAAAUUUUCUCCCAUUCUGUUUGUUGCCUGUUCACUCUGAUGAUAGUUUCUUUUGCUACAUAGAAGCUC
rnacentral:lncRNA from 1 species